rnacentral:lncRNA from 1 species
GAUCAUUUGAGAACAGUGAUAGAUCCGGAUAAACUGAUGCACAAAUCACUUUCUUCAAGAUAGAUGAGUCUUUGAUCUACUGUGUGGAGACACAGGGUGAUGAGUGUAGAUAGUUGUUAGAGAACAACUAGUACCAAGCAUGACCAUAUGAGAGAUCACUUGAAUUUUUAUUCGAUCGUCAGUAAUUAUCUCGAUGCUGUAGUUAUAUGACUGAUCCUUCGACUUGAGAUGGCACUGCUGCUCGCAAUGAGGCUACUGAAGUUUGACUGACAUAUAAACAUGGAUCUCAAUGAGC